rnacentral:rRNA from 1 species
GCAAUCAUUGGACGUUACGAAACCCAAAGGCGCAGUGAAAGUAAAGGCUCGGCUUGUCUGGGCUGAGGUGAGAUCCUGUCGUUUCUCACGUAAGGUACUGUCAAGCGUUUGAGAGGAGGUCGCAUCACCGUCCCGUCCCAUGGCGUAGACACGGUCUUCGGUCUGUUCACCGUCGGGGCGGAGCAUGAGCGCACAUGUUGAGACCCGAAAGAUGGUGAACUAUGCUUGCGCAGGUUGAAACCAGAGGAAACUCUGGUGGAGGACCGCAGCGAUUCUGACGUGCAAAUCGAUCGUCAAACGUGAGUAUAGGGGCGAAAGACUAAUCGAACCAUCUAGUAGCUGGUUCCCUCCGAAGUUUCCCUCAGGAUAGCUGGCAUUCAGAUAUACAAACAGUUUUAUCCGGUAWAGCGAAUGAUUAGAGGCAUUGGGGGCGAAACGUCCUCUACCUAUUCUCAAACUUUAAAUGGGUGAGAAGCUUGACUCGCGUGAAUGGAGUCUGGCCUUGAAUGUGAGUGCCAAGUGGGCCAUUUUUGGUAAGCAGAACUGGCGCUGUGGGAUGAACCAAACGUUCGGUUAAGGUGCCUAACGCGACGCUCAUCAGAUACCACAAAAGGUGUUGGUUGGUCUAGACAGCAGGACGGUGGCCAUGGAAGUCGGAAUCCGCUAAGGAGUGUGUAACAACUCACAUGCCGAAUCAACCAGCCCUGAAAAUGGAUGGCGCUGGAGCGUCGGACAUAUACCGGACCGUCACUGCAAGCUGGAUCAGUAAUGUGUGGUGUGAGGGCAAGCCGCACGAUCCAGGCAUGGAGUUGUGGUGACGAGUAGGAGGGUCACCGUGGUGAGCGGGAAGCCUCGGGCGUGAGCCUGGGUGGAGCCGCCACGGGUGCAGAUMUUGGUGGUAGUAGCAAAUAUUCAAGUGAGAACAUUAAAGC